GACGAACGCUGGCGGCGUGCUUAACACAUGCAAGUCGAACGGAAAGGCCCUGCUUGCAGGGUACUCGAUUGGCGAACGGGUGAGUAACGCGUUGGUGAUCUGCCCUGCACUUCGGGAUAAGCCUGGGAAACUGGGUCUAAUACCGGAUAGGAGCCAUUUUUAGUUUGAUUGUUGGAAAGUUUUUUCGGUGUAGGAUGAGCUCGCGGCCUAUCAGCUUGGUGGUGGGGUAAUGGCCUACCAAGGCGGCGACGGGUAGCCGGCCUGAGAGGGUGGACGGCCACAUUGGGACUGAGAUACGGCCCAGACUCCUACGGGAGGCAGCAGUGGGGAAUAUUGCACAAUGGGCGCAAGCCUGAUGCAGCGACGCCGCGUGGGGGAUGACGGCCUUCGGGUUGUAAACGCCUUUCGCUAGGGACGAAGCUUUUUGUGACGGUACCUAGAUAAGAAGCACCGGCUAACUACGUG
rnacentral:rRNA from 1 species